UACGUAGGGGGCAAGCGUUGUCCGGAUUCAUUGGGCGUAAAGCGCGGGCAGGCGGCCCGUUAAGUCGGCCGUGAAAGCGCCGGGCUCAACUCGGCGAGGACGGGCGAGACUGACGGGCUCGAGGUUGGCAGAGGGCGGUGGAAUUCCGGGUGUAGUGGUGGAAUGCGUAGAGCUCCGGAGGAACACCAGUGGCGAAGGCGGCCGCCUGGGCCAAUACUGACGCUGAGCCGCGAAAGCGUGGGGAGCGAGCCGGAUUAGAUACCCGGGUAGUCCACGCCGUAAACGAUGGGCACUAGGUGUCGGGGGUAUCGACCCCCUCGGUGCCGGCGCUAACGCAAUAAGUGCCCCGCCUGGGGAGUACGGCCGCAAGGCUAAA
rnacentral:rRNA from 1 species